ACUCCUACGGGAGACAGCAGUGGGGAAUUUUGGACAAUGGGCGAAAGCCUGAUCCAGCAAUGCCGCGUGUGUGAAGAAGGCCUUCGGGUUGUAAAGCACUUUUGUCCGGAAAGAAAUCCUUGGCUCUAAUACAGUCGGGGGAUGACGGUACCGGAAGAAUAAGCACCGGCUAACUACGUGCCAGCAGCCGCGGUAAUACGUAGGGUGCGAGCGUUAAUCGGAAUUACUGGGCGUAAAGCGUGCGCAGGCGGUUUGCUAAGACCGAUGUGAAAUCCCCGGGCUCAACCUGGGAACUGCAUUGGUGACUGGCAGGCUAGAGUAUGGCAGAGGGGGGUAGAAUUCCACGUGUAGCAGUGAAAUGCGUAGGGAUGUGGAGGAAUACCGAUGGCGAAGGCAGCCCCCUGGGCCAAUACUGACGCUCAUGCACGAAAGCGUGGGGAGCAAACAGGAUUAGAAACCCCUGUAGUCCC
rnacentral:rRNA from 1 species